rnacentral:tRNA from 1 species
GGCCCCAUCGUCUAGCCUGGUCUAGGACGAGUGCUUCUCAGGCAUUAAACACCGGUUCAAAUCCGGUUGGGGCUACCA